AUUGAACGCUGGCGGCAGGCCUAACACAUGCAAGUCGAACGAGUGGCGGACGGGUGUGUAAUGUCUGGGAAACUGUCCGUUGGAGGGGGAUAACAACUGGAAACGGUAGCUAAUAUCGCACACCAUCUGAUGUGCCCAGAUGGGAUUAGCUCGGAGGUGAGGUAACGGCUCACCUAGGGGACGAUCCCUAGCUGGUCUGAGAGGAUGACCAGCCACACUGGAACUGAGACACGGUCCAGACUCCUACGGGAGGCAGCAGUGGGGAAUAUUGCACAAUGGGCGCAAGCCUGAUGCAGCCAUGCCGCGUGUAUGAAGAAGGCCUUCGGGUUGUAAAGUACUUUCAGCGGGGAGGCGUUACCCGCAGAAGAAGCACCGGCUAACUCCGUGCCAGCAGCCGCGGUAAUAC
rnacentral:rRNA from 1 species